UAGUAGAGAUGGGGUUUCACCAUGUUGUCCAGGCUGGUCUCAAAGUCCUGACCUCAAGCGAUCCACCCACCUCAGCCUCCCAAAGUGCUGGGAUUACAGGGGUGAGCCACCGUGCCCAGCCUUAAUUUUUGUAUUUUUAGUAGAGAUGGGUUUCACCAUGUUGGCUAGGCUGGUCUCUGACUCCUGGCCUCAAGUGAUCCAGCUGCCUUGGCCUCCCUAAGUGCUGGGAUUUCAGGCAUGAGCCAUGGUGCCUGGCCUGCUCUGUUCUAAAUGUAGAUCUAAACCCCCUGCAGGUAACCUGGAUGAGGACAUCAUUGCAGAAGAGAACAUUGUUUCCCGAAGCGAGUUCCCAGAGAGCUGGCUGUGGAACAUUGAGGACUUGAAAGAGCAACCUAAAAAUGGAAUCUCCACGAAGCUCAUGAAUAUAUUUUUGAAAGACUCCAUCACCACGUGGGAGAUUCUGGCUGUGAGCAUGUCGGACAAGAAAGGGAUCUGUGUGGCAGACCCCUUCGAGGUCACAGUAAUGCAGGACUUCUUCAUCGACCUGCGGCUACCCUACUCUGUUGUUCGAAACGAGCAGGUGGAAAUCCGAGCCGUUCUCUACAAUUACCGGCAGAACGA
rnacentral:sRNA from 1 species